rnacentral:tRNA from 1 species
UGCGGGCUCGUCUAAUGGCAGGACGCAACACUCUGGAUGUUGUUGUAGUGGUUCAAAUCCAUUGCCCGCAGUCA